rnacentral:piRNA from 1 species
AAGAUCUCUUUAUGCCCAGACCCAAGC